AUUGAACGCUGGCGGCAGGCCUAACACAUGCAAGUCGAGCGCGUGGCGGACGGGGGAGUAAUGUCUGGGAAACUGCCUGAUGGAGGGGGAUAACUACUGGAGACGGUAGCUAAUACCCCACAUCAUCAGAUGUGUCCAGAUGGGAUUAGCUAGUGGGUGGGGUAACGGCUCACCUCGGCGACGAUCCCUAGCUGGUCUGAGAGGAUGACCAGCCACACUGGAACUGAGACACGGUCCAGACUCCUACGGGAGGCAGCAGUGGGGAAUAUUGCACAAUGGGCGCAAGCCUGAUGCAGCCAUCCCGCGUGUGUGAUGAAGGCCUUCGGGUUGUAAAGCACUUUCGGCAGGAAAGCGGUACCCACAGAAGAAGCACCGGCUAACUUCGUGCCAGCAGCCGCGGUAAUAC
rnacentral:rRNA from 1 species